AGCGAACGCUGGCGGCAUGCUUAACACAUGCAAGUCGCACGGGCAGCAAUGUCAGUGGCGGACGGGUGAGUAACGCGUAGGAACGUGUCCUGAGGUGGGGGACAACCCCGGGAAACUGGGGCUAAUACCGCAUAUGGGCUGAGGCCCAAAGCCGAGAGGCGCCUUUGGAGCGGCCUGCGUCCGAUUAGGUAGUUGGUGGGGUAAAGGCCUACCAAGCCUGCGAUCGGUAGCUGGUCUGAGAGGACGACCAGCCACACUGGGACUGAGGCACGGCCCAGACUCCUACGGGAGGCAGCAGUGGGGAAUAUUGGACAAUGGGAGAAAGCCUGAUCCAGCAAUGCCGCGUGGGUGAAGAAGGUCUUCGGAUCGUAAAGCCCUUUCGACGGGGACGAUGAUGACGGUACCCGUAGAAGAAGCCCCGGCUAACUUCGUG
rnacentral:rRNA from 1 species